CUUUUGCCGGCGAGCGGCGGACGGGUGAGUAAUGCUGGAAAUUGCCCAGUCGAGGGGGAUAACAGUUGGAAACGACUGCUAAUACCGCGUACGCCCUACGGGGGAAAGCAGGGGACCUUCGGGCCUUGCGCGAUUGGAUAUGCCCAGGUGGGAUUAGCUAGUUGAUGAGGUAAUGGCUCACCAAGGCGACGAUCCCUAGCUGGUCUGAGAGGAUGAUCAGCCACACUGGAACUGAGACACGGUCCAGACUCCUACGGGAGGCAGCAGUGGGGAAUAUUGCACAAUGGGGGAAACCCUGAUGCAGCCAUGCCGCGUGUGUGAAGAAGGCCUUCGGGUUGUAAAGCACUUUCAGCGAGGAGGAAAGGUCAGUACUAAUAUCUGCUGGCUGUGACGUUACUCGCAAAGAAGCACCGGCUAACUCCGUGCCACAGCCGCGGGUUAAUUACGGGAGGGGGUGGCCAAGGCCGGUUUAAUUCGGGAAAAUUUACUGGGGGGGCGGUUAAAAGGCGCACCGCAGGGCCGGUUGGAAUUAAGUUAGAAUUGUUGAAAAGCCCCCGGGGGCUCCAAACCCUGGGGGAAAUUGGGCUUUUUAAAACUUGU
rnacentral:rRNA from 1 species